rnacentral:rRNA from 1 species
UAGGCUGCAACUCGCCUACACGAAGCUGGAAUCGCUAGUAAUCGCGGAUCAGCACGCCGCGGUGGAUACGUUCCCGGGCCUUGUACACACCGCCCGUCACACCAUGAGAGUCUGUAACACCCAAAGCCGGUGGGAUAACCUUUAUAGGAGUCAGCCGUCUAAGGUAGGACAGAUGAUUAGGGUGAAGUCGUAACAAGGUACC